GUGCUUGCUUCAGCAAGACAUAAACUAAAAUUGGAACAAUACAGAAAAGAUUAGCAUGGUCCCUGUGCAAGGACGACAUGCAAGUUUGUGAAGUGUUCCAUAUUUUU
ensembl:snRNA U6 U6 spliceosomal RNA